rnacentral:piRNA from 1 species
UAGAGAGGAAUGACAGGCUGGGCCUAGG